UGGGGAAUAUUGCACAAUGGGCGAAAGCCUGAUGCAGCAACGCCGCGUGAGCGAUGAAGGCCUUCGGGUCGUAAAGCUCUGUCCUCAAGGAAGAUAAUGACGGUACUUGAGGAGGAAGCCCCGGCUAACUACGUG
rnacentral:rRNA from 3 species